rnacentral:lncRNA from 1 species
ACAAUGUGAUGGUCAUGAAGUCUCUGUCAGAGAGGAAAGAGGGAGUUAAUCUAUAAUGAAGAUCAACAGUGAAGAGGAAAGGGGUCUUCCCUGGAACGCUUCAGUCAUAUACGACAUUUUACACAACAAUAAUGGACCUGUGUAAGGAGGUAUGUGUGGGAGAAGAUUCCAGAAGGUCUUGAGACACUCCAGAUGAAGGUUGGUGUGGGGCUGUGCUGCUGGAGCACCAGAGAGUGAAAAGAGGUUAUCUCCCUCUGUGCCAGGCCAGAGUGCAGUGGUGCAAUCACGGCUCACUGUAGUCUCAACCUCCUGGGCUCAAGAGAUCCUCCCACUUCAGCCUCCCAAGCAGCUAAGACUACAGACAUGUCCUUAACCUUGGCACAACAAAUCUCUAAAUCGAUUGAGACCUGUCUCAGAUACUUCUUGGUUUACAAGAUGGAGGCUGAAAUUAAAGAGAAAGAUCCUCACUCAACUCACAGAGGAGCAGAAUGGGAAGAGGACUUAGUGAGAAUUCCCUGAACACAGGAGAAAACCGAAGCCCAGAGAGUGGAUGGCCAAGUCCAAGGUCACACAGCCAAGUGCAUCCGAGCAGCGCAGGAUCCAGGUUUCCUGCCCCAGUGCUCUUUCUGCAGCCCAUGCCACCUGUUUUCAUGCUAUCUCAGUUCACCUUCCAGCUACACACCUGCAAUCAGAAACAGAAAGUCUGAGAGUGUGUGUGGAGCCAAAGAGGGGACAGCAGUGGUUAGAAGCAAGGCACAAGUCAUACCUACAUUCAAGGAGAGGGGACCAUGCAAAGGAUAAACUGCAGAGAGACAACAGAUUUACAUCCCAGACACAUUCACACUGGGCCAAGAGCAGCUGCCAUUGCAGAUUCGAGUCACGUCCUUUUUUCCUUCCUUCUCCUUCUUGGAGUUACAACAGAAGCUGGGGAGGUGAGAGUGCAGAAAGGACGUGGAUGAAGCAGAGAGGCACGUGCCUGUCUCAUUCGCCUCUGGAUCUGCUGCAUCCAGGACUGUGCCAGCACAAAGUGGGAGCCCGAUAAAUAUUUAUUGAAGAAAUGAAAGGUGACAAAAGGCAGAAGGAGGGAGACCCCAAAAAGAGCAGCACAGGAAGCUGCCCCCUCAAACACUAAAGGCUCCUGGAGCUAUUCACAGUGCUGGGGAACAACCAGAGGAGGAGGAGGACAGAGGGAGAGAAUACUUUUUUUAAAAAUCCCAAACAAAACCAAAUUCUAUACAUGUAUAUCUCGAGUGAGUAAAUGUGUAACACUCA